GGCCUGGUGAAACGUGAUACAGCGCCUCUGUAGACACAUUCACUUUCUUUCUUUCUUUUCAGGGAGGGUGUGUGCGCGUCCGGGAAGCCCCCCAAAACGCCGUGCUCCUCGAAAUCAGAAAUAUCCUUCUGUUCCGAGGUCUGUCCCCUUCGUCCUCCCCCUCCGCAUACUUAGUUCUCCACUCGCUCCCCAGCCCCACCCAUCCGCCCCCCUCCCUUUGCAGAGUGUGAUUGUUUUGUCUGGAAAAAAAAAAUCCAAAGUAUAUAACAAGGGGAGAACAGUUAGUGCUGAUUUUCAUUUGCAUACAUUUUCAUAUAUUUUGGUGAAAAUAAUAGACCAGCGGAGAGCUAGGCUUCGAGGAGUCAGUGUAAGGGGAAGACUAAGGCGGCGGCGUUCUGGUUCUGGGGAGUUGAGACCAUGCCUUCCCCCUCAGUCAUCUUAUUUAAAAAAACAAUAAAACAUCAUUUAUUUUAAAGUAUAACCCUGGAAGUUUGCUCGUGCUUUUCAGGUCUUAAUCAAAGAACAUCUUUGUGAUCAGACUAAUCAGCAAUUGAUGGAUAAAAAAGCUACAACUCAGACAAGACAGGUGAGGAAACUGACAACUCAGAGAAGAUACUGACUGUCCCACGGCCCCUCCCACCGAGCUGGGCCAUAUCAUUUUCAAAGCUCGCUGUUGGGGUGGGAGCCCCCGAAGCUGAAAUGGCCUGAAAGUGGAAACUUUUCUUGGGAGUUGACUAGUCAGUGAAAUAUUCAUAGAAAUGUAACACGACACAGGAUGCUGAGCUGGUGUCUAAACUUUGUUCCAAACCAUAUUUGCUAUUUGUAAAACUGGCCCCUCAGGGACUAGAUGGGGUUAAGGAACUCUACUCAUCUGUAGUUAAUCUAAGAAUUAACAUUUAGCAAAUUACUGCCUCAGUGCCUGAAAUGAGGUAUGUGUCUGGUGGCUCCGUUGAUUAGAACCCUGUGCUAAUGAGGUCACCAGGUAAGUCCCCAGGAGGGCUGGCUCACUUCUCUGUGGUCCCCCUCGGAACCCCAGCCAGGCCCCCAAAUGAACACUGGUCACAAGUGGCCUUCUGGGGAAGAAUCAACAAAUUCUUCACUAUUCGUGGGAAAAAAACAGCUCAAAGCAGAUGCCUUGAGUUGACUUGGAGUAUGGCAAUGAUCCCAUGGGGUGACAAAAUGGUACCCUAGAGGCUGCAAAGACUUCUUGCAGACGGCAAGUGCCACGCUUCCCGGGGUGGCUUCCAUGCUGGGAAAGCUGGCUUUGGUGUGUGUGGGAGCUUCCAUCCUGCAAGGAAAGGGGAGGGUCAUCUGGGAACAGUGGGAGGCAGGAUGCUUGUUCAAGAGGGAGACUCGGGGAGGGGGGGAUGCUUUAGAGGGAAUUUUGUUGAAUUUUUCACUUAUCACUUAUUCAAAAGAUGAUCAUUUUGGGCCUGCCAAUUACUGUCUGUUGUCAGACACCCCCCGGGACCAUUUCUCUGGCAGCCACGCCACUCCACCAACUUGCCUCAAGCUGGCAGGAGACCCACGCACUGAGAGCUUUCAGAGCACGGGGGGUUCUCACACUCAAGCAUUCUCUCCAUUUUUCACUCUCCGAAACCACUUUUUUCAGGUCCAGGUCCAUUCUGAGGCUAAAUCUCACCCAAGCAGGGCCAGAUGCAUCAACAACCUCUGAGGCUGUUUCUUGGGUUUAGGAAGGAAUAAUGCCUAAUGGCCUCAGCUGUGCCUUUGGCAUUCCCAGUCUAAACCAGCACCCUCACUGGCUUCCUCCUACUUACCAAGAGUGCCUUCUCCUGGGCAGAGGCCACCUCUCUCUCUUUUUUUUUUUAGUUGAAAAAUUAAAAAAUCUCUGUACCCUUAUCCCCUAGCAGAAUGCUUUGUAUACAGUAGGAGUCCAGUAAAUGUUCACUGAAUGAGUGAGUAGAUGAAAGAAUUCCGCCAGAAUGGAAUCUGGUUCCAUUUAGACAAAGGCAACUUUUUAAUGUUACCAUUUUAUUGCUUUUCUCUUUAGAAAAUUAUAUGUGGUUAUUAAAAAUAUUUUGGAAAAUUGAGAUGUGUGGAACAGAAGAAAAUACCGCCCCCCCCAAUAAUGGCAUUACUUGGAGAUAGCCUUUCUUAACACUUUGGGGUACAUGACAUUUAUAUCCACAUGCAGAUCUAUCAUAUAUGUGGGACUCAGACAAUACAUAUUCUUGUGUAACUUUUUAGAGUUAUAUCAGAAAGCUUUGUGCAAUAUUGUAUCUUUUUACACGUGAUUAUUUUUAUUUUUUCAGAGUAUCUUAUUGUAUGACUUGAUUUUGACUUAAUCUGUCACAUAUUUAAACAUCCUUGUAGCUUAAACUUUCCACAUCAUUUCAUUUAUUUCCUGGGGAUAAGUUCCUACAAGAGGAAUCGCAUAAUUCCAUGUUUUUCUAAUUCAUUGUAUGUUCUUGGCAAGUUAUUGGUCAGAGAAGUGCCACCGAUACAUAGUCCUACCAGCAGCAGGUUAGUGUCUGUCCACUGUCCUCCCUUGGUAAACACUGAGAAUUGGCAUUCUUAUAGAUAUUUGCUAAUUCAUAGGCAAAAAGUAUGUCAGUGUCCUUAUACUUUGCAUUUCUUUUAUUAAUAGCAAGACUGAAUAUUUUUUCAUGUGAUCAUUUUAAUGUCUUCUUUGCAAAUUGCUUGUUAAUGUUUUUGAAGACCCAUGUCUGUUUCAUGGGCUAUUGUAAGAAUUAGUUGAAAUAACCUAUCUGAAUACAUUUGAAGCCUACACAGCAAGAAACAAAUAUGUUAACCAAAUUUGUGACCUGACCAGACCUGUCCCAGGAGGGUCAGAAGGAAUGGUUACCUGGAGUCAGUGGGUGCCCAGUGAAGACUUGCACAGCUCUGCCCAUGGACGGAUGGGGAGAGGUGCCUGCGAGAAAGGGAAAGAGACGUUGGUAUAAAGGUUUGUUACUGAGAGAAGGCCACCGAAAGUAGACAAGGUUGGAGGCGAUCCAGGGCCUGGCAGCUCGAAACGGGAGCAGAAGGGACCAGGGAGCAACAGGAAACCGAGACCCUGCUCUGGGCUGGUCUGAGUCCCCCCCCAGGGCGGGGGGUGUUGGGGCAGGCAUCUUCCCAAAUGUCCUCAAACCAGCAACUGACAAAACACCAGCAGGGCCGCCCCUCUGGGGACUCCCCUGCGUUCCAGUGCGACCAAGGCAGGUGUGUUUGAGAACAAAAAUGAGAUGGAAUCCGCCGCACACAGGUGUGGUCCUCUGGCCAGAACACACCUGUGCUUUCCGGGAAGUACUUGGAGUUGCCACGCUUAAGACAGGCAAACCAUAUACGUAGAUAAGAAGUAAUCCAGUGAAGACAGGAUUCUGCACUAAAAUUCCACCAGUGUGUAGACCCCACUUCUGUAAAAUUAUAUAUAAUAUAGCUAUGUGUUAAUAUAACUAUAUUAUACACAUUGUACAGGUACACAUACAACACAUGAAUGUAGGCAUAAGCCUGCCCGUGGUCGUCUCCGGAGAGUGGUACUGAGUUGGGAUGAGGAGAAAUAAUUAUCUUUGCUUUUAUUCACAUUUCUAAGUGUUGUUUCACUUGUUACCCUGUAUAUUCACUUGUUACAACUAUAUACUUUCUGUACUUUGAAAAUGAUCUAAUAAGGAAACAAAAUUGCAACACUCCACCCUGCAGCAGGAGUCCACAACUCACCAGGUGACCGGAGCUGAGUUCUGGGCUGUCACUGGCCCCAGUGCUGACUCGGACAGAGGAGCCCCAGGGAGCCCCUGAGAGUCACACCUGGGCCCCGCAGGACACUGAGCUCAUCGCCACCUCACACUUAGAUGACGGGGAAGCCUUGCCUUCUUGGCGGACAGGACCCUGAGAAUAGCAGGGACUGUAUGAAGAACUUUCAGAAGUGGGGUCCCAGUCUUCACCAUCGCCCAUCGCCCAGAUGAGGAGACAGCCUCGGAGAAGUGGAAGAGGCUUGGCAAAGCCACCUCCCUGUGCGCAGUUCCUGGAACCUUUGUCUCUGUUCUGGUGACCUUUCCGUGAGCCCAGGGACAGUGAUGGAUACAGUGACCUCAGGGAGUUGCUUGGGCUCUUUUCCAUGGCUCCUGGGGACUCCUGCUGCAGGGAACAGGAAGGACCCUGUGGGUGGUCAGGGGGUUCCUAUUACUCUGUGGGGCAGCCAGGCCCCUGUUCCAUGUCUGCCCACAGGUAGACAGGCUCAGCCCCCGAUCUCACUCUCUGACCACCUAGUGUCCACAUCUCGGACCUCACCGGGGCUCCCACAUCUUGAGAUUGGGGAGCAUCCAGGGAGAUCAGUGGAAGGUCCAGCUUCCUCCUCCCGUCCCAACACUUAACAAUGUGGGCUGUGAUGACUGUGGACAUGCUGCCUCUACAGAUUAGCAUCUGGGUCCUCUGUCCUCCUGGAGUUCUUGCCUGUUCCCGUCCUUCUUCUCAAACUUGUCUCCCAGGGAGUUGGCAAUGAUGGCUAGGACCACCCGUUGUCUGAGGUCCAUCUGGGUGCACCUGCUUUUGGGGGGACACACACAUGGCACUCAAACAGGCUCGUGUAGCUCUCUGGCCACCUUGGGUUCCACACUUCCUGGCAGGAUCCCACUGGGAACUCUUUGGGGCCAAACGUUUCUUUUGCAACUUAAUCAUCGGCAUGUGGGCUACUGUGCUCCCUGCCUGAGACUGACUGGAUGGAACUCAUCAGCUCUGAGUUCCAGCUCUGGAGAAUGGCAGCUGCUGGAAGAGGCCCGAGAAUCGGGAGCUCCAAAGUCCAAGGGCAGGAGAAGAUGGACAUCCAGCUCAAGGAAGGAGAACAUUCACCCUUCCUCUGCCUUUCUGUUCUAUUCAGGCCUUGAGUGGAUUGGGUGGUGCCCACCGCAGUGGUGCUCAGAAAACACCUAUGGACUUGAACAGACAGGACAACACUGACCGGCUGGCUGGCUUGAGUUUCAUUUCUUUUUGGAAGCCUGGGAUGGAAUAAAAUUGCCAAAAUGCCGUGACCAGAAGGAAGGCCAAGGUUUUGGCAAAUCCACAGAUACAAUCUCCUCCUCUGUGACUGAAUUCCGUUCCAGUGGUUAGAACUCUCUAACGAGGGCCUCGGCUUUGUGUAGACGGAUUAGCAACAAGGGUUUUCUAUAGAGAUAGAUUUUUCCAGAGUAGCAAAUUUGAACAAUUUACUCUCAGAAUUUCAAUGGAAAAAGAAUAAUCCUACACAAAAAGCAAAUGGACCAAGAUCCUUCCCCCUCUUCUCUGGUUAAUCAAAGCAUUUACACAGAAAUGCUGUAAGGACUUGUGUAGGAGAUGCACUGGGAUCUUCAAGUCUCUCCUCGACGCUCACUUCACUUUGUCAGAGUGGCUCUGCCCUCCGAACGGUAUCACAUAAAAAUGGAUUUUCUGGGGCUCCUGGCUAUGAAUGGGUUUUAGUUGCACAGUGGUGCCAUUCAUUUUAUUUGGCCCAUUAUCACAAGUACGGUCUAAAUUUGGCCUUAAUUAUUUUUCCUUUCACAAAAAUAUUUUGUGGGAUCUUUUUGAACCCCGACUACUUCCUUCUUGUCCCUUAAAACAGAAUCCAGGAGUGUUAUUUUUUUGUUCUCUUCUAAUUAAAAUAAUUGCUUGGUUCCUUUUAACUAGAUUCAUGCCAUUAGGGGCCUAAUACAUGGAUGGGUGCCCUGGGGUGCUUGGGAAACAGAAUGAAAAGUGAUCAUGUAGCUUCACAUGAAAAAGGUCCUGCGGUGCCAAGAAGCAUUUUUUUCCCUUUCAGCUGGCGUUUUAUAAGGGCCUUUAGUAAACCUGGCCCCCCAUACCCUUACUAAAAGACGAUUAAGCCACAGAAUAGUUCUAUUUUCUUUAUUAGGUGUGCAGCGACCUCGGUCCCGUUUGAAGAGGGGCCCUUGAUGUGCUGGGACUGGCACGAGGACCGGGGUCUGGGUUUAAUUUCUGCCCCUGCUUUGUCUUUCAGAACAACUGCAUGUGAAGGGUGAGUGCUCCAGGUCCCUGCUGCCAGGGGGUGUUUCUCAGGGGACAGUGGAAGACGAGGGACAUGAGGGCCUGGAUAGAGCUGGAAUCCAGAGUUGUCAGGACCCGGCCUCUAAGAGGAAGGGCUGAAAUCAUGUUGACAUCAAGGCUUUUCUCCAGUCCUAGGGUUUGGCAAACAAAGGCCCACAGGGGGCAUCUGACCUGUUGCCUCUUUUUGUAAGUUAAGAUUUAUGGGACCACAGCCACACCCACCUGUGCACGUGUGGUCUGCUGCUGCCUUUGCGCUGCAGCGUGGAGCAGCGUGACAGAAUGUACCGUCCAAGAGGCCGAAGAGGUUGACUCUCGGGUUCUUUACAGAACAAGUUUGCUGACUCUUGAUAUAACCCAUCCAGUGAAUGCGCUGAGUAUCUGCUAAAUAUCUACUCCAUGCUGAGACAUGUGUGCGCAGGGAUGCUCAGAGUGGUCCUCACUGGAUGGGAGGCUGAUGGCCUUUGGUAACGUGCUUGUGUCACGGGUGUCCAGGACAGGUGUGUAGGUAUCAGGGAGUAAGAAGGAUCUGGUGGAAGAAGUCAUGGUUUGAGAAAAUGUUCUGCCAUGAUUGUCUUGGUGGCAAGUCGCGGAUCACGGCUGGGCUCUUCCUUUGUCCGCUACCAGGAGGAGAUGCUGACGCGGCUGGAACUUCAGGCUUGGGGCGCACCUUUAUGAACUACUUCAAGACCUACAGCCAAUAUGUGGACUUCUGGUUCCAGGCCAAAAGAUGGGUACCUUCUGCCACCAGUUGGUGGUAGGGUGGGUCAAGCAAGAGGAUGUGAAUCCAAGUGUUUUCUGGGCCACAAGGUGCUGUGUUUGUGGCCUAGACAUUAUCUAUAAAAACGUUAGGAUGAGUGUUGUCUCUGUUGGCACACGAGGACAUGCAGCCCAUCCAAUAUCAAAGAGCAAAGCCAGUGGCAGAACAGGAAGCUGAGUCUCUUGGUUUCAGUCGCUGCUCUUUCCAGGGCACCGCGUGAUUCUGUAAGUCAUGCUUCUUUCCAUGGCGUCAGGAAUGCUCAGUUCUUUAGUCCACGUGUUCCUUCCUUCCUUCCUUCACUCACUAGUCAACACUAUCUAAGAGCCUGCUGUGAACUGGAAAAAGGACUGAAUUUUUCAGGGAGAGCGAUGACUGUAUAAAGAGUUGGAAGACUCAGAAUUAUUUUGUUCUUGGAUCCCUAAGGCUGCCGUCCUCCAGAAAUACGUAGAUUUCUCCCAUGCUGCCCAAGUGGUUGGCCCUUAUCUGUGACACGAAGAAAGAGAGUUGGUGGUGUGUGUGGGGGGGAGUAAUCCUAUCACUCAACAAACUGUUGCCUGAGAUGUUGUUCUGGGUAGCGUGUGUGUGCGUGUGUGUGUGCAUGUGUGUGCAUGCAUGUACGUACCAAGAAAGAGGAUGAGAGAUACUGAAAUGUCACUAGCAGAUUGUACCAGCAGCUAAAGGAUGGAGACAAUCUAGGUUUGGAAGAUUUGAAAGUUAGGCUUUCGUACAGAAAGUCCAAGGGAAUCCACAUCAGAGACAUUUUCAAGUAUCAACUGUCAAAUUAAUCGAGUCUAUUAAACCUGCCAGCUGUGGAUUUCCUUUACUAUACUGUUCCAGACGGUCUUCGUUCAGAUUGUAUUCUUUCAAUGAUGUCUCUUGUAACUUUGGAAGUGAUGAUUAUCAAAUGUGCCUAGAGGAAGCAGCUUCCACCAGAAUAUUGAACCUGCCGUGUCGUGAUAGGGGAAGGGGAAGUUCUUGAAAGUUUCCGUGUUUUGACACUUGCCCAUUUCAUGGGGAAGUUUGCCAAUAUUUCCCUCUCACUCAAAGUCAGUGUCAUUGGCUACUUAAGCUCUUCAAAUUCUGUGAACCUGAAAGUCAUAUGAUUCUCUGAAACAAGGUACCAGUGAAGUGGCCUCCUAAAGACAAAACAAAACAAAACCUUCCAGAACCUUCCAUCAUGCAGCUGUCACCAGCAAAGCCCUCUGGGAGGUACAUUAGAAAAUUCUGCCUCGUUCUCUUCCUUCUCCUGCGUCAGUCAGUCACGACCCUGUGGACUGAAUCUGGAGGUGGUGGCAUCUGAUUCUGCGAGUCAGCUUUGGGUCCGUGCUACCUCUCCGAUAGGUCCAGGACCCAGGACGCUGCUGUUGUAACAAACGUAACUUGUUUCAGCACAAAACGUGGUGUGUUCAUUGCAGGGCUUAACACCGAUACAGACAACGCUUCUCAUCUCGAAGAAAUUUGUAAGCAUUAACUAAUUCAUUUAACUUUCUUGUGGUGAAGCGAGUUUUCUUCCGUUUGCUGUGGGAAAACCCUUCUUUUUCUGAUUCUAAUCCUUGAGCAGGUAUUCUACUGAGAAGUAGUCACCACGCUGGAAAUGUUUUGUAGAGGGGAAAUAAAUCUUUCAACACAGUGUAAAAUUCCACUGAAACAGACGACCUCCAAUUCCUCAGCGUAUAAGCCUGUUUUUAAGCGAUUAAGCAAUGCUCUGGGGAAAAAAGUUAAAUCUCGCUGAAAACUGCAGGAACCCUUACUGUGUUGUUACCACCGCUGCCACCACCGAGCCUGUGUGCAGAGUUCUUAAUGGGUCACAUCUACGAGUUUGUGGGAGAACAGAGAGCUGGAGGAAGGGCUCCCGUGCUGUCUCCUCGGUGGAGAGUUCAAUCCAAGUGUAGGAUGUGACAAAGGAUCUAGAGAUGGCGAGAUUACACUGGAUUAUCUGGGCAAAGCACUCUCCAUUUCUUCAACUCUGACGCUGUGGAAGAGUAUUCUUUUUGUGGCUGGUGGCCACCAGUCCUUCCUCUGGACAUGUUGUCGCCCUCUGCCUCACUGGGAAGCUUAUGUGAUGCAGCACAGCUUCAGGGAGAACGCCGAGGGAGUCCAGGUGGAUCUGAGCUGUGCUCUGGGGAAUUCGUCGGCGCAGGACGCUGAGUGGCCGCCAUUCCUGUGUAUGUGUUUUUCAUCCAUGAGAGAUGAAAUAAGGAUCAUAUUCUUCAUUUGAUGACGCCCUCGAGAAUCCUUCCAUAGACGUUUAAGUUGAAAAUUCUUAGUUUCCAGCAACUUAUUAAAAAAAAAACACACACACACCAACCAGUCUGGCUAAAAAGUAUCCUCAGGAAACCAGGCUGGAGGAGGAGAGGGUGAAGCAGGAAUGAGCUGUUUAGCUUUUCUUGGAACGUGGCAUAAUUCUCAGAGGACUGAAGGGCCGAGCAUUCCCCAGAUACCUCUCAGGCACGUGUGCCAGUCCACAAAGUGCUGGAACCCCAGACACAGAAUCUGGAUGGAUUUCAAUUUCAGUGAUUCAGGUGUUUGUGGCAUAGAAUAAACACCACCCAGGAGGCGGUAUCCUGAGUUACCAGAAGUUCCAGUCUGCAGUAUAAUUCUGGGCCAUGCUUUCAGUGUCUACACGGGGAUAGCAAGUCAGCCAUUCAGUCCGCAUCGGCAGACCAGCUUACUGUUUGAAAAGGAAAUCCUAAAUCAACCGACGUUUGGGACUGAAUUAAUGUCUUUUUCCAGGGUCGGGCAGACCUAGCUUUGAUCUGCUCAGCUCUCCAUUUCUACGUUUGCUGAGUGACUACUGUGCAGUCCCAUUGUGUUAGAUGUUAUGAGCCACUGGGAUCCAACAUGGUACCCAGAGCUUUCAGGGAGCUUGCAAUCCAGCCGUGGGAAUGGACACACACUUAGGACACAAUCAGUGGAUAACACGAGGCAUUCAAUAAAAGGAUGCGAUGGGAGUUGAGAGGAGAAAGACAAACGCUCCUGGACUCUUUCAGAGAAGACUUUAAGCAACAGGGUGUGGUCUGGGGGACUUUGAAUAGGCUGAAGGAGAGAGAUGGCUUAUUAGGCUGGGACUUGGCAAGAAAAAAAGCCACUGACCAGAAGAAAAAAAGAGAUCGAAUAUCUAUACUCCACGUGUUUCUUAAAAUACAAAGAUCUUUACUUGUGUGA